rnacentral:rRNA from 1 species
CUGUGUGUUGUUGGGUAGGGGAGCGUUCUGUAAGCCUGUGAAGGUGUACUGUGAGGUAUGCUGGAGGUAUCAGAAGUGCGAAUGCUGACAUAAGUAACGAUAAAGCGGGUGAAAAGCCCGCUCGCCGGAAGACCAAGGGUUCCUGUCCAACGUUAAUCGGGGCAGGGUGAGUCGACCCCUAAGGCGAGGCCGAAAGGCGUAGUCGAUGGGAAACAGGUUAAUAUUCCUGUACUUGGUGUUACUGCGAAGGGGGGACGGAGAAGGCUAUGUUGGCCGGGCGACGGUUGUCCCGGUUUAAGCGUGUAGGCUGGUUUUCCAGGCAAAUCCGGAAAAUCAAGGCUGAGGCGUGAUGACGAGGCACUACGGUGCUGAAGCAACAAAUGCCCUGCUUCCAGGAAAAGCCUCUAAGCAUCAGGUAACAUCAAAUCGUACCCCAAACCGACACAGGUGGUCAGGUAGAGAAUACCAAGGCGCUUGAGAGAACUCGGGUGAAGGAACUAGGCAAAAUGGUGCCGUAACUUCGGGAGAAGGCACGCUGAUAUGUAGGUGAAGCGACUUGCUCGUGGAGCUGAAAUCAGUCGAAGAUACCAGCUGGCUGCAACUGUUUAUUAAAAACACAGCACUGUGCAAACACGAAAGUGGACGUAUACGGUGUGACGCCUGCCCGGUGCCGGAAGGUUAAUUGAUGGGGUUAGCGCAAGCGAAGCUCUUGAUCGAAGCCCCGGUAAACGGCGGCCGUAACUAUAACGGUCCUAAGGUAGCGAAAUUCCUUGUCGGGUAAGUUCCGACCUGCACGAAUGGCGUAAUGAUGGCCAGGCUGUCUCCACCCGAGACUCAGUGAAAUUGAACUCGCUGUGAAGAUGCAGUGUACCCGCGGCAAGACGGAAAGACCCCGUGAACCUUUACUAUAGCUUGACACUGAACAUUGAGCCUUGAUGUGUAGGAUAGGUGGGAGGCUUUGAAGUGUGGACGCCAGUCUGCAUGGAGCCGACCUUGAAAUACCACCCUUUAAUGUUUGAUGUUCUAACGUGGACCCGUGAUCCGGGUUGCGGACAGUGUCUGGUGGGUAGUUUGACUGGGGCGGUCUCCUCCUAAAGAGUAACGGAGGAGCACGAAGGUUGGCUAAUCCUGGUCGGACAUCAGGAGGUUAGUGCAAUGGCAUAAGCCAGCUUGACUGCGAGCGUGACGGCGCGAGCAGGUGCGAAAGCAGGUCAUAGUGAUCCGGUGGUUCUGAAUGGAAGGGCCAUCGCUCAACGGAUAAAAGGUACUCCGGGGAUAACAGGCUGAUACCGCCCAAGAGUUCAUAUCGACGGCGGUGUUUGGCACCUCGAUGUCGGCUCAUCACAUCCUGGGGCUGAAGUAGGUCCCAAGGGUAUGGCUGUUCGCCAUUUAAAGUGGUACGCGAGCUGGGUUUAGAACGUCGUGAGACAGUUCGGUCCCUAUCUGCCGUGGGCGCUGGAGAACUGAGGGGGGCUGCUCCUAGUACGAGAGGACCGGAGUGGACGCAUCACUGGUGUUCGGGUUGUCAUGCCAAUGGCACUGCCCGGUAGCUAAAUGCGGAAGAGAUAAGUGCUGAAAGCAUCUAAGCACGAAACUUGCCCCGAGAUGAGUUCUCCCUGACUCCUUGAGAGUCCUGAAGGAACGUUGAAGACGACGACGUUGAUAGGCCGGGUGUGUAAGCGCAGCGAUGCGUUGAGCUAACCGGUACUAAUGAACCGUGAGGCUUAACCUU